rnacentral:rRNA from 1 species
GAUGAACGCUGGCGGCGUGCCUAAUACAUGCAAGUCGAGCGAACAGACGAGGAGUUUGCUUCUAUGACGUUAGCGGCGGACGGGUGAGGAACACGUGGAUAACCUACCUAUAAGACUGGGAUAACUUCGGGAAACCGGAGCCAACACCGGAUAAUAUAGUGAACCGCAUGGUUCAUUAGUGAAAGACGGAUUUGCUGUCACUAAUAGAUGGAUCCGCGGCGGAUUAGCUAGGUGGUAAGGUAACGGCUUACCAAGGCAAGGGUGCGUAGCCGACCUGGGAGGGUGGACGGCCACACUGGAACUGGAACACGGUCCCGGCUCCUACGGGAAGGAACAGUAGGGAAUCUUCGGCAAUUGGGGGAAGCCUGGCGGAAGACCGCCGGGUUGGUGGUAGAGGUCUUCCGAUCGUAAAACUCUUUUAAUAGGGAAGAACAGAUGUUUAAGUAACUCUGCACUGCUUGACGGUACCUAACCAAAAAGCCACGGCUAACUACGUG